AGAAUGAACGCUGGCGGCGUGCUUAAUACAUGCAAGUCGAACGAGAAAGUACCCUUCGGGGUGCGAGUAGAGUGGCGCACGGGUGAGUAACGCGUAAGUAAUCUACCUUCGGGCAUGGGAUAACUUCGAGAAAUCGUAGCUAAUACCAUAUAAGCUCACAGCAGGGUAAUCUGCCGUGAGAAAAGAUAGCCUCUAUUCAUAAGCUUUCACCUGAAGAUGAGCUUGCGUACCAUUAGCUUGUUGGUGGGGUAACGGCCUACCAAGGCUGCGAUGGUUAACUGGUCUGAGAGGACGAUCAGUCACACUGGAACUGAGACACGGUCCAGACUCCUACGGGAGGCAGCAGUAGGGAAUUUUGCGCAAUGGGGGAAACCCUGACGCAGCGACGCCGCGUGAGUGAAGAAGGCUUUCGGGCUGUAAAGCUCUGUCAGAAGGGACGAAUAAGUGGAGUCUAACAGGCUUUCAUGAUGACGGUACCUUCAGAGGAAGCACCGGCUAACUCUGUGCCAGCAGCCGCGGUAAUACAGAGGGUGCAAGCGUUAUUCGGAAUUACUGGGCGUAAAGCGCAUGUAGGUGGAUUGUCAAGUCAGAUGUGAAAUCCCGGAGCUUAACUCCGGAACUGCAUUUGAAACUGACAGUCUUGAGUAUGGGAGAGGGACGUAGAAUUCCUGGUGUAGAGGUGAAAUUCGUAGAUAUCAGGAGGAAUACCGGAGGCGAAGGCGGCGUCCUGGUCCAUUACUGACACUCAGAUGCGAAAGCGUGGGGAGCAAACAGGAUUAGAUACCCUGGUAGUCCACGCCGUAAACGAUGAUAACUAGCCGUUUGAGGAAUUGACCCCUUGAGUGGUGCAGCUAACGCAUUAAGUUAUCCGCCUGGGGAGUACGGUCGCAAGAUUA
rnacentral:rRNA from 1 species